rnacentral:lncRNA from 1 species
GGGGGGGGUGAAUUAGUGCAGCGGAUUAAAACUUCGAUUUUAAUCAAAUCUUUCGUACAAUACGAAAUCGUAAUGGGGAAAUGCUUGACAGUAAGAAGGAAAUGCUUAAGAAAUCGUAUUUGCAAGAUUGUGCAGUAAGAGUAAUGAGGAACUAAAGCAGUAAGAAGAUUUGCAGUAAUGUAAAUGACAAUAAUAAAAAGCAAACCAGGGAUUACGCCGAUUUUUAGAGUGGUUCGGUCAAAUGACCUACUCCACUUGCGAGGCCCCUCUUCGAUGAGGCUNNNNNNNNNNNNNNNNNNNNAAUGUUCCGGAGCAUAUCAACGGUGUAUGGAACAUUUCGGAGCAUAUCAAUAACGACUGAAACAUAUCGGAGCUUAUCAAUGGCAUAUGAAAUGUUCCGGAGCAUAUCAAUGGCAUAUGGAACAUUUUGAAGCAUAUCAACAAUGAAUGAAACAUUUCGGAGAAUAUAAAUAACAAAUGAAAUGUUUCAGAGCUUAUCAGUGGCGUAUGAAAUGUUCCGGAGCAUAUCAACGGCGUAUGGAACAUUUCGGAGAAUAUCAAUAACAAAUACCAAACAAAAGCUCAAACAUCGUCUUUGACGUUGCAUUUAUAUUAUUCUUAUCCAAAGCAUGUACAGAAACACAUAACCAAAGCUCUGGAUAUCAUAUCAAACAUACAGAGGGUGUAGUGAGACCACAGACAGAUUAUUAUUCAUCCAUUUCUGAAUGACCACCAGACAGAAGUCUCCCACAUCUGGGAGCUCCAUCCACCCACGUCUAGGUGAAGUCAGAGGGGGUCGGUAGAGCAUCGUAGGCUCUAUGCAUAACUCCCUUUACCAUUUCUGGCAAAGGUUCACAUUAUCCCAUAACACCAGAGUACAAAAGGCAGUAUGAACAAUAAAUAGCAUAUAUCGGAAGCACACGCGGAACAACAAAAUGUACAUGUGCCUUUAUGAGUCAAUACGAUGCAAGCAACAAUCUCUCACAAAUGUAUUCAGAU